CUAAGGUUAAUCUUUUACAGAUAUCCUGGGAAAUCUCAGCUUGGCCAACGUAUCUUAUGGCCUAUCUACAUAGGCAACAACCUAAAAGCACUUCUCAAAGCUUGGUGGUGCAGGCAGAGAGUCAUUUGUUAAUGCUGCUUGAUGCAGUCCCUAGUCAUCUACUGUGGUUGUUUCAAAUGAAUUUGCCAGCUAGGGAAGGGAUUGAAAUACUCUCUGAAUCCUACAGCUUACUUGGGAUGCUGAGUUGGUUCCUAGCUUUUCUGUUUCCUUUUGGCUGGUGGAGUAUCAGUGAAAGCACCCUGCUGUGCUCAGUCACUGCAGUUGUCUACUCUGUGAGAUCACACGUUGUUAACCAGAUCCUUGUUUCCCUGGGAAGGUUUUGUGGUGUGCCUUCUCAGGAGGUAAUUGGUCCUGCACUUGCUGGGCUUUGUAGCUGCAAAGGAGAGACUCCACUGGGUGGAACUGGCAUUUUUCCAUCUGCCACCCACUGUGAAUUGAGGGAAGGUUUUCUGGAGGUGGGGGACAGGAGGCAGCACCUUGUUGCCUACAGCCUGUAGCACAGACGAAGUGCUGUGCAGGGGGCAGCCUGUCUUCCCCAGCAAACUCCCAGGCAUGGAUGAGACCUGCUGAAGAAAGGAGACCUGCUGAAGAAAGGCAUUGCUCACAUGCUUGAGGGAGUACUUACAGGGGAAGAGCUGGGGUUGGGCUGGUUGGGCAGUAAUUCAAGAAAGAAUUGGGCUGGGUACGUGAGGUGAGGCAGCAGCUCAAGUUUUUCAUGAGAACGAAAGGUGGCUGCUGGUGGUGUGCUUGCCCUUUGUGCCUGGCUGUAAGGGAGGAUGAGGAAAAUCCAAAGGGUUCCUGAGAGCUGCAAAAGUAAUGGGGAGCAGCUGUGCUGCCAGCUGCUUCUGAGAUCAAAGGGCUGAGCGCUUACUAAGAAGUUUGGCCUCUGGGGAGUGUUUUAUCUAGCAUAGGGAAGGAGAGCCAAAUACUUGAUCCAGAGACAAGCCUGGGGCAAGCUGGUUGCAUGAGGGGUAGAGGUUUUUGUUUCCUGGUAUGUGGACAGUGAUAAGGCGCUCCUAUAGAGUUUGGGAACCACUGCUCUGCUUUAACCUCAGCCUUCUACGGAGCCGUGCCAGUCCUCUUGGCUGAUGGAAGGAAAGAGUUUUAUUGAGAUUAAUGGAUGAUAAUGCAGCAAGCUGGGAACAGACCACAAAGAUCACUCGCUUCUUUCCAGCCCCACGUUUGAGCAAGUGCUUAUGCAUAUUUAGAAAUUGGUGGGUGCAGAACAAAUAGAGAACAAACAUUAAUGCUGACAAAGGGGAUAUAAAAGCUGAGGCAGCUGGAUAAUGUGUUAUGCAAAAUCAAUCUAAAUGGAAUAUAUUUGCCUUUUUGUUUUGCAAAUGGUGACCGAGUCAGGAACCUAUCUGGAGAAACAAAGCUGUAUGUGAUUGACAAUGGCAGGAAUAGGAGUUAACUUUGGUAGCGCUGUUUUGUUUGAGGAAAUAUUAAUAUUGUUAGUAUUAAUAUGGGAGAAUCUAAAAAGUUAGACAUAAGGAUGAGGAAAAAGAACUUGGACUAUCCAAAGCAAUACUAAAGCUGUUGUGGUUGUAGAAAGAAUGCAGCAAGAUUUGGCACAGCUUAGUUCUGGGUAAUGUUGGAGAGACAAAAAUGAAUGCUAAUCUAAGGCUGCUUGAAAGGGAGGAAAUGGGGCUUAAUGGAAGGAGGAGCUUUAGCUUUGUCUUAGCUGCAUCUUGCUCUGGUUUGAUGAGAAAUACCCAUUUUGGAGAAGCUAGCCAAGAUGUACAGUUGGAUUCUUGGGGAAAAAACAAAACACAGGAAACACAUUCAUGUCAUCAGCCUGAUGAUUGCAUAGAAAUUGAGCGUUAUAAUGUUUUUGUUGGAUUUUUUUUUGUUAUUUUUUUCCACAGGCUGCCUUUUGGUUUAUCUGUAAAGCUUCUAAGAGUGGUUUGGAAAUACCAAAGAUUUAAAACAGUCUUGAGGUAGCUUGGAAGAUGCUGCUAUUACUGUUAAUUGCAAUCUGCAGUAGGACUGUUUGCCCAGUACUGCAGAGCCACUGUGGAGAUCUGUACGUGUAGAGUGAGUCCCUGCUACACACACAAACACUCACGAAAAGCAAAAAGGAAGGCUUAGAGGAGUAUUUCCUUUCCCACUUAUGGAAGGUAAUAGCAAGUCAGUGGCUGAUCUGGGGUUAGAGCGAAGACUCAUUAUAGCCAAUCUAGUACUCUAGCUACUAGAUCGUAGUUCCUGUGGUGCUGUUAAUUAAAUAUUAAUACGUGCGUUGUUUCUGUCUUUGGUAUGUCCUUAUGUGCUGGCUAUACUGGAACAUGUUUGAACUGUUUCAGUCAUUUUUAUUUUUGGGAUAGAGCUUAAAGAGUAAAAAUAGAGACUAAUCCAAUUCAUGGGGUAUUAAACAUCCACCUUCUGAAUAUUAACAGUUUCUUAAGUAUCUACUACAAACCAAGGCAAUUCUUUGUAGAUCGUCUCUUCUGGCAGAGCAAAAAUAUGGCUUCUGAUCCAUCCUUGGAAGUUUACUUUCAGCACUGCUUAAAACUUUUAAUGCAGCCAUAUACAGGAGCAAAAAGGGGGAGCUGAAGUGAUUUGCACAGUUUUGAGCUUUCCAGAGAGUGUGUUGAGAUGGCUAUGCCAAAUUUCUUUGAGCUGGCUGUAUUGUAACAAGUUAGUUGGCUUUAGUUAAUAGAAUAUGGAUAUAUUUUUUGCACUUGAAGAAUAUCCUAAGCAGUAGUGUAUGCUGUUCUGUCUGGCAGAGAGCUAAACACUUAUUCUCCCCACCCACUAUCAAAUGAAGAUGAGCAUUGAUGUUAAUAUUAUUGUUGUUAAUAUCUAAGCUGGAUGUCUAGGUUCACUGGAUCCCAGUAAUCUUAAGUUUUCUGCAUUGUACACCAGUAGGGUUGUAGAGGCUGCAAAGGGUCUGAGUUUUAUCAAGUGGUUGUAGCUGAAAAAUAGCAUGUUCCUUGGUUAAUUGCAAAGACAAGUAUUUCAAAUCUUUAUCAAAGUCUGUACCUUUCUUCGGUACUACCCAAUUGAAUAUAUGUUUUUUAAAAGUGAAUAAUUUUGCUGAGGGAAACUAGUGCUGUGUUGCACUGCAACUUCCAAAAGUUCUUGUAGCUUGACACCAAAAUUUGGCAUUGGGACGAUAGCCUUAGUGAACUAGACACCAUACAGGCAUUGGACCAACACAGACAGUGCUUUGUGCAGCAAGGUUUCUUCUUUGAUACUGAAAUUAAGAGUUAAAUUAGUCAGCUUUUGCAGUACAGACACAAAACCAAGCAGUUAAGCAUUGGUUCUUGAGCCUGUCAUUUUGUUAGAUAGUAAAUCCAACUUCAGAGCUCCUAGUGUUGGAACAAGUUGUAGCCCAAUAAACUUAUUUAAAUGUGUUCAAAUACUUUUAUAAAGCUUUAUGACAGUUCUGGUAUCGUAUACAUGCUGUAUCACGUACUUGCAACUGAGUAGACAGAAAUGAAGUCACGUGUUCCAAAUACCAAUGGAUUUCGUACUGCUGCAUGGGACGUGGGGACUCAGCUUCGUGUUAGGUACUGUGGAAUCUAAGAUGCGUAGAGGCUCUGUACCUGCACUGAUCUUAAGAUAAGUAGCAGCAGUAAACAUUUAGCAGCUCAGAGUAAUGGGCAUCUUGGCCAGAUGUCUAAAUGUAUUUGUGUGACCAGCAUGCCUUUGCAAUUAAGUCUUCAAAAUGAUGUAGGUGUCCUGAGGUUAGAUCUUCAAAAGCGGUGCUGAGCAUUGUGAUGUCUUUUUGUAGGCAGUUUGUUUCCCAAUGGCAUUAACAGCCGUCAACAGGAUUCCUAGCCCCACAGAGCUCAUUUACUCAGGUGCUUAGAAAGGAGAUGCAGAAAAAGCAGCUGCUAUGAAGUGUGAAGGACUGUGGUGCACCUUCAGGUUAUCUCAUUCUGCAAUUUAGUUCAGUCUGCUCUGAUGGAAAUAGGAGUUUUGGUGGUGGUGGAUUUUUUUUUUUUUUUUUGGGGGGGUGACCUUCUACAAAUAAUUCUGCAGUUCCGUACUGCUCUGACAGCUUCCCAUUCAAUGCAACAAACAGAGCAAUGCUACUUGCUUUGUAAAGCACUUUGCGAGAGCUGCAGGUGCAUGCAGCAUUCACAGAAUUCACUUCAAAAUGUCUGAUGAGCUCUGGCCAUGUCUUUCUCCCUCUGAAGACUGCUGAUCAGAGAGCGGUGGCUUUGACCAGGACUCCAGGGUGAAACAAGUCCUGUCUUUACCUGUCUGGGGGAUGAUGUAAGUGAAGGAAGUGGCAUAGGUUUUAUUCUGCUUAAGGCAAGACUGCGGUGUGCUGGAAAAUGUGGCUCCAUUUAGGUGGCAACAUUGAAGAGAAUAGAGAGAUGAAGGGUAACUAAGGGUAACAUGAAGCAUUUGGUAUAUUUAUAAAAAUGUGAAAUGGCUUUUCUUAUUUAAAGAAUGGUUGUGCAUCAUUGAAGGCUACAAAAGCAAAGUGGGAACAUUCUUUCCAAAUCAGGAGAAAAGCAAUCCUUAGCAGUUGCUAAUCUAUUUAUGUUCCAGUCAUGCUCAGAGUGUGGCUUUGAGGGCUGAAGCUCUUGUAAUUAAUUGCCUGGAAUAUGUCAUUCUGCAGCAAGAUUCAUUGUUCUCUUCUCCCCAAGAGGAAGGCUGAGAUUUUUAGCUGUAGGACUUCCCUGUAAAACAAGCAGAGAGACAUGGCUAAAUUCCCAUGUAUUGUUUUGUGGAAACACUACUAAUUAUGGCUCCCAUUACAAGCAUGUCAUUUCUAUGUGAUCUAGACAGAAAUUGAUGCAUUUGGUGGGAAGCAGCCAAUGCUUUAUUCUGGGGAUAAUACACAGGCUUUAGGUUUUGAUCCCUGUUGAUAGAGGUCCUUAAACUUUACAGAAUCAGUAGGAUGCUUAUUUAGUUCCCUGGUUUCUCAAAAGGACUUUAUUUUUAAUUUUCUUUUUCUCAGCUUCUUCCUGCCAGGUUCCCUUUGCUAUUCCCCAAGCAAUGCUCAAAAUAUUUACACACUAUGCCAAAUUAAAUGAGAGUGAACUCAAAGCUCCAUGCCUGUGUGAAGAUUUAGAGGGGCAAGAUUCAGCAGGGACUGAGCAUGCUUUCAAGAAGCUAUGUAAGAUACGGCUUCAAAAGGACCUUCAGCCCAACCUCACUUACAUUACUUUGUAUGGGAACCUUUCUCCUCUAUGUCUUCCCUUCCCCUGAACAGAAAUGAAUGCGUUUUUAAAUAGCGAAGCAUUCCUGUAGCUUCCUUUCAAGUCCCCGAGGUAUUGUUGGCUGUGGGAACCUCCCUAUAUAGCUCCUGUGGAACUAGGAGCUUGGAGCAUAGCCAUGACACUUCCAUGUAAGAAAGCACACAUGCUCUGUGCAAAACUUUUCACUGAUGUUGGUAGACUGGAUGGAAGAGCCAAUUUUUAUCCUAUAGAUUCACUGCUUUUGUAAAUGACAACCUACACCGACUUUUCUUACUUGGGGACUGAAAGUGGAGUUGCUGUUAAGUUUCAACUGCAUAUGAGUGACUGUCUGGUCCUUUGAUGCAUGGCCUGAUCAAGUGAACUAUAUGCUGAUGACCUCUAGGAAGAGGAGCUGUGAAGAACAGGUCUUUCUGCCUGUCAGAAGAAACACAGAACAGUUGAAGCUGGAGGAGACCUCUGGAAGUCGUUUGGUCCAACUCCCCUGCCCAAGCAGGGCCACCUGGAGCUGGUUGUCCAGGAGGCUUUUGAAGAUCUCAACUCUCUCCAGGCAACCUGAGUCACUGCUCAGUCAACCUGACAUUGGAAAAAGCGUUCCCUGAUGUUCAGAUGGACCCUCCUAUGUUUGUGCUUACAGCCUCUUGCCCUGUCACAGGACACCACUGAAAUGAGCCUGGCUUCAUCUUCUGUAUACCCUCCAUUCAGAACAAUAAUGGUGCGGUUUCUGGAGCACAGAGAAGUACCCUUUAGCAACAUCAGCAAUCCAGUGAAGGACUUCUUGAAGGAAACUGCUUGAAAUCCAGGCUUUAAGCAAAUGAGUAACUUGGAACAAAGAAAAGACUUCAAGUGUUUGGAAACCUGUAAACUCUUCAAAAAUCAUCAUUAAUAGAAUUCAAGCCCUGUAAGAAGAGGCAGCCAUGGAAGAUUCACAUACCUGCAACUAUUGGAGGUAGCUUUUGUGGAUUGAUAGUGCAGCAAUUCAGAUGUGAGGGGAAUGUGAAAAACAGGUACACUGCAUUUUACUUCAGUACCUGAUGCCUACCUUGCUGGAUGGGCCUCUCCUGUUGGGUAAGAUGUUCAGUUUACAUUGCUUCCACAUAUUCAUCUUAGAGACACUAAAAUAAAAAAACUACCCUGUUUACUCCCUAUAUGACCUCUUCAGUACAAAUGCCUUAGUAAGGUAUUACUAAGAUUUACUAUUUCUGCUGAAUGCUUCUCAUCUUAAAUGAAAACAUCCUCAGAACCUCCACAGGUAAGUUGUGCAUAUCAGUAACAAUUGCACACUGAGGAUAUUUCCUGACCUAUACCUAAGAGAACUGGACAGAACUUUCCUAUAGAAAUGAUAUCUCUAUAGUCCGAUAUAUACAAAAGUAUGCCAUUAAUGAAUGACAGCAUAUUUUUAAUAGUGUAAAGUUAGUUACUGGUUCUAAUAUAAAGGUAGGGCAAUUGCGCAGUGACACAGCUAUGUAGCUGUGGCAAUGACUAUACAAAGCGGUCUGAAGUAAGGACUUUUUCUGAUUUAUUCACAGCUUAAUAUGCAAAUUGAGUCAUAGUAACAGCCUGACUGAAAGUAACAACACAAAAUGAAGCAAAUGGAAUUAUUUUUUUCAUUUGAAUUGCCUACAUGUUCAACUGAUAUAAUUCUUCUAAAUAUUUCCAGAUCUAGCUGGCUGUUUCAGUGAAAUUUAUUCAUGGUUAAGAAUAGCAUACAUAAUCCUCAAGCUGAAAUAGAUGCAAUCUAUGCCCAAAUUCUUCUUCAAGCUGCAAGAAAAGGGAUGUGAAUAUCAACUUGAGUCAAACUCAAAAAGGUUUAACAUUACAGAACUUUCUGUAAUGUAUCUUUCUUUCUCCCUUUCAAUAUAAUCAAAUUCAGGUAGGGAAUCCUCACUUUCUUUACCACAGAAUUAUUG